GAUGAACGCUGACCGAAUGCUUAACACAUGCAAGUCAACUGUGGCGGACGGGUGAGUAACGCGUAAAGAACUUGCCUCACAGCUAGGGACAACCUUUGGAAACGAAUGCUAAUACCUGAUACUGUGAGAGAGCUUUGCGUCCCAUUAGCUAGUGGGAGAGGUAACGGCUCACCAAGGCGAUGAUGGGUAGCCGGCCUGAGAGGGUGAUCGGCCACAAGGGGACUGAGACACGGCCCUUACUCCUAAGUGAGGCAGCAGUGGGGAAUAUUGGACAAGGGACCAAAGUCUGAUCAAGCAAUUCGGUGUGCACGAUGAAUUUUUCGGAAUGUAAAGUGCUUUCAGUUGGGAAGCGGUACCAACAGAAGAAGUGACGGCUAAAUACGUGCCAGCAGCCGCGGUAAUUC
rnacentral:rRNA from 1 species